AACCAUUCUCACCUGCGGCUAGACCUGCGGAAGGAUCAUUACAGAGUUAUCCAACUCCCAAACCCAUGUGAACUUAUCUCUUUGUUGCCUCGGCGCAAGCUACCCGGGACCCCGCGCCCCGGGCGGCCCGCCGGCGGACAAACCAAAACUCUUGUUAUCUUAGUUGAUUCUCUGAGCGUCUUAUUUAAUAAGUCAAAACUUUUAGCAAUGGAUCU
rnacentral:misc_RNA from 1 species